GACAGAGGAGGCGAGCGGUAUCCGGAGUUAUUGGGCGUAAAGGGUACGUAGGCGGCUGGUCAAGUCUGGGGUUAAAGACCACAGCUUAACUGUGGGGAGGCCUUGGAAACUGACCGGCUAGAGUGGGGCAGGGGUUGCGGGAAUUCCCGGUGUAGCGGUGAAAUGCGUAGAGAUCGGGAAGAACACCUGAGGCGGAAGCGCGCAACUGGGCCUCAACUGACUCUGAGGGACGAAAGCUAGGGGAGCGAAUGGG
rnacentral:rRNA from 1 species